rnacentral:rRNA from 1 species
UACGGAGGGUGCAAGCGUUGUCCGGAUUUAUUGGGUUUAAAGGGUGCGUAGGUGGGUGCUUAAGUCUGGUUUGAAAGCAGGUGGCUCAACCAUCUGAUGUGGCUGGAAACUGGGUAUCUUGAAUGGGUUGGCGGUAGCCGGAAUGGGUCAUGUAGCGGUGAAAUGCAUAGAUAUGACCCGGAACACCGAUUGCGAAGGCAGGCUACUACGACUUGAUUGACACUGAGGCACGAGAGCAUGGGUAGCGAACAGG